rnacentral:sRNA from 1 species
ACCUAAACCCGACCAAAGCGAAAAACCCGCAGACCGAGGAACGAGGUUGAGGAUUUGCAGCAAAGGGCGGGACAAAGC